GUGCACGCUGGCGGUAGGCCUCACCCCUGCAAGUCGAACGGCAGCACCGUAAGAGCUUGCUCUUACGGGUGGCGAGUGGCGGACGGGUGAGGAAUACAUCGGAAUCUACUUUUUCGUGGGGGAUAACGUAGGGAAACUUACGCUAAUACCGCAUACGACCUACGGGUGAAAGCAGGGGAUCUUCGGACCUUGCGCGAUUGAAUGAGCCGAUGUCGGAUUAGCUAGUUGGCGGGGUAAAGGCCCACCAAGGCGACGAUCCGUAGCUGGUCUGAGAGGAUGAUCAGCCACACUGGAACUGGGACACGGUCUAGACUCCUACGGGAGGCAGCAGUGGGGAAUAUUGGACAAUGGGCGCAAGCCUGAUCCAGCCAUACCGCGUGGGUGAAGAAGGCCUUCGGGUUGUAAAGCCCUUUUGUUGGGAAAGAAAAGCAGCAGGUUAAUACCCCGCUGUUCUGACGGUACCCAAAGAAUAAGCACCGGCUAACUUCGUG
rnacentral:rRNA from 1 species